CGGCCCCGGCUCGAGCUCCUCGGCCUGGUGGUUCUUCUGCACGCGGCGGCUUUGCAACCGGCCGCCUCUUGGCUGCAAUAGCUUCGCAGCCUUGCUCUGCGCACACAUUUUCUGCGGAGCGGGGGGAAAAAGGAGUGUUUGUCUAUGGAUAUAACCUGUUCUGAGGGACCGGCUUGAAGCCAUCCAGCUCCCGGGUGCAGACGCGACUCGGGGCACCACCAAAACCAACAGGCAGAACUGCAGCCCUCCUAAACUCUCUCAACGCAGCUACUUAGGUGUGAGUCUACACGCUCCAUAUCGGCCAGAGACAACUGCGGCUGCAACGCAUCCGAAGGUCACCGACCCAGGAUCGAGCCGGCCCAGAUGGGCCCAUAUCACUUGCAGCUCUACGCCCUCGUUCGGUUCAUCUUUUCGGUGGAUUUAACGUUCAGCUCUGCGUCGUUAUUUUGGAGUUGCUCUCCACAGGAAGCGCCACGAUGGCUCCAGCUCAGCACACCAUCCGGCCGGCAGGAUGGUGUGCGCUAAGCUUACCGCGACGCUGCAGCUACUCCCUAGGAGACCACGAAGAAGUGUGGGCUCUCUGGGAGGCAGCUGGGAGACAUCGCAAACCUGGCACUCCAGCAGACGGACCCUUGUUUCUGUGCCCGACCACAAAAAAGUGGCACAGCACCCCUUUCAAAAUUGCAGCUGGCCACUGGGCUGAGGUUUGCUGCCGUUGGAUUCAUGCGCGAAGCCUGAGCAGAACUGAAGCCCAGCUGCUCACACAGGUAAGCCGAGAAAAGAUGCUCUGCACCAUGUUUCUGCCAGGCAAACGAUGGGACAACCCUAGCUCUUUGCUACUGAGACACUGAACUCAAAACAGACAGCGGCUUUGCUCAAGACAGCCAGCCGAGCCAUGAGACAGGAACUCUGGGAGCACUUCGUAGGGUUUUAGAGACUGCAAAAACUAGCAAGUCUUCAGGGGGGCCAGAAAUGCCAAACUCACCACGUUUGCAGCUAAAUCCCCAGAUGAAGAGACAGAGAGAUUUGGUUUGGCUGAAAAGGUGUCUGAAAUGCUCCAGUACUCUGAAUUAAGACCUCUACUGGAUUUGGAACUGGUCAGCUAUAUACAGAGCAAAAGCAACUGCUUCAGCUACAGACCUGUGUGGAAGGAUAGAUCUCCUCCUUUCUGUGCUGCAGAGUACAUGAAGGUUGAGAAAGCAGAAUGACCAGUUGGAUGGCUUGUGGCGCUGUCGCUUCCUGACCGCACCUAUGCCCAGAUUCACUCAAGCAGCAACGGAGCAAACUGCAGAAGAGUUUGAUGGGGAGCAUGCUUGACUUGCUUUAGCACGCUUCAUUCUGCCUGAGUUUGAAUUCGUUUUUGUUGUGACGUCUAUGAAUCAGCUGCUCCAUUCAAGAGCUUUGUGUAGGAGGUAGAGGCAGAUGUACUGGGGAGAUACAAAAGUGUUUAAGGCCCACUCUGCACCCUGGUGCAGCACUUGUACUCUAAAAAGCAAGCAGCUCUGCCUAGUCCUCUGUGGGACACCUUCUGAGGAGCAAAUUGGGGCUCAAGGUUGAGCAAUCCCUCUUCACAUCCAGCCAUGUACAGCUCCAUUUGGGAAGAUGAUGCAUCCAGGAAUAACUGGUCUUCUCAAGGAGAUAGACCGAGCUAGGGGGGUGCUUGGUACUGCACCUCCACAGGCUACGUCUCUGUUUGCAAGUUGCGCCACGCUCUCAGAGAUGGUGUGUAUAGCUAAUGAGCUGGUGCAGAAGAACUGUCACCUACACUGCAUGUGUCAGGGAGGGCAUCACCUUGGACUCGUGGAUCCCAUGGACUAGACACCCAUUAAAGGCCAGGUCAAAUGUGGGUGAUCUCCCAGGCUUAUCUUCCACUCCCUUCCACAGGGCACUCCUAAUGGGAACUACAGCACUAACCCAGCUGCACCCUCAGCCCUCCAGGACGGCAGCAAGCUUGCCUAGAGGUUUGCCUUGUCGUGAGACCUGAAGUCCAGGCUUUUCUCCAGUUCAUACCAGUUCCCUUCCCGUUCUCUUCGAGGUCAGGGUAGGCAAUGAAACUGCCUCCAAAUGAGGCACCCCUCAGUCUACAAGGGCUUUUUCACACAGGUUGGUGUGCAGAUUCCCUCCAGCAAAAGCCUGCAGCAUCGGGUUUUACUUAACCUGUAGAACCUGGAAUUGGGGAGAUGGAAGGUCUCUGGGAGCUGGUUAAGCUUGUUUAAUGCUUGGAUAUGCUUUCCUUAAUUAUUUCACCCUGGAUGGGUAACUAGCUUCCCAGUGCUGAAUGGCUUAGUUCUCAGUUACAGAAGUGCAGCUGGCAGCAGGAUUUGGCUCUAUUGGUCAGCAUCCCAGCGGUGGGAAUUCAGACGGCUCCUGCACUGGUGCUGCGGUCCCACUGUCAUCUCUCCCUUGCAGAGACGGGGAGACAUGCUGCAGGGAGGAGGCAGCACUGCAAUCAGCCAGCUCUUGGGGCACUGCAGGCACAGAUACCGGUGUUUCUUUUCUCAUCCUUCUGCUGAGGGAGCCUGCUGAGGGGUCACACUGAGCUGAGCUGGUGGCAGAGACCGGGAUCCUGCUCGGCAGCUUGCCAACCUGCCUGGUGGGGUCUGUGGGACCAGUUCGCCCCCAAACCUGACAUCAAGGAGAAGGACUACAGCCCUACGUGGAGCACCAGAGCCACUGCAGGAGACGUUUUGGCAGCAGUCAUGUUUCAAAUCAGUUAUCCCACAAAGGUGCUCACACAUUUCCAAAUCUAGGCAAGUCUGAGAGAGUUUCUUCAGUCUGGUUCUAUCCCAUUUCCCUGGUUCAAAGCAGGGGGAGUGAAUAAUUCAUCUCCUGCCCUCCAGUUCCCUCCCUGCUCCGGU